GCUGCCCUGACCGAGUACCUUCCCUUUGUGGCAGAUUUUGAGAGUUUCGACCUACCAGAAGAGCACCAGAUCGCACAGCUCCCCAUGAAUGGCGUGCCUCUCAUGCUGCUUGACGAGGAGAGGGAAUUUGAAAAGCUGUUACACGUGGGCCCCCCUUCGCCUCUGAAGAUGCCCUUUCCACCGUGGGGGUCCAAUCCGUUGCUGUCUCCCUCAAGCAUUCUGUCGACUCUGGAUGUUGAAUUGCCACCCGUUUGUUAUGACUUAGAUGUUUAAGUUUCUUAGUGCUUUACAGCUUGUGUGUAUGUAUUAAUAAAGCAACUCUUAACAGACUCUAAA